GUCCCUAUCGUCUAGAGGCCUAGGACAUCGCCCUUUCACGGCGGUAACCGGGGUUCGAAUCCCCGUAGGGACGCC
rnacentral:tRNA from 5 species